UCGCAGUUUUAGGAGUCGGUGAUUAGGCUGGUUUUUUGGGUUACUUUUUCGCUCCGAUUCCUGUAUUUCAUAGUGUUUGGCUUUUGAAUAUUUUAGUUCUUUCAGAGAAAUAUUACUUGCCUUACAGAUUUUGUAAAAAUGUUUCAAUUUUUAUAAGCCGAACGUUAGAGUCCUAAAACAAUACAUCAGUACUACUAUUAUUGUAAACAAACAAACGGAGCACCACUUGGCUCUGUUCCAAGGCCUUUUUCGAGUUCAUCUGGAGGUUUUCGUACUCGUGUACUCGUGAGAUCAAUACUGAAGAGUACGCCGAGCAGUAUCAAGCCAGAAAAUGUUUGCUGAUGAUGAUUGCAUAUUGUCUAUUGAUGUAUUGGGAUGAAUAAUUAAUUAUAACUUAUAACAGCAAGAUUAUAACUAUGAAGCGCUGACUAUGAAGUGAAAAAAUCUAGAAUGAGCGAACUCAGGCAGCUUUACUUUGCUAUGCAGAUGGUAAUGUGCAUUACUCAAGUGUCUGGCAAAUGAAACUUUGCAUUUCUUGAAAAAGGAUUUCAGUAAAAUUGUGAAUGUGACAAGCCAUGCAACGAUAUGAUCAUAUAAUACGUGUUAAUAGUCAUUCGUGACAAUGAUCUUUGGUCCAAUAUACAAUAGCAAAGCUC
rnacentral:lncRNA from 1 species